AGCAGCCGCGGUAACUCCAGCUCCAAUAGCGUAUAUUAAAGUUGUUGCAGUUAAAAAGCUCGUAGUUGAAUUUCGGAAUCAUCAGGUUGGUCGUGCCUCUGGUAUGUACUGAUCUCGAUGGUUCCUCCUUCUUGAAGAACCGUAAUGCCAUUAAUUUGGUGUUGCGGGGAAACAGGACUGUUACUUUGAAAAAUUAGAGUGUUUAAAGCAGGCAAUCGCUUGAAUACAUUAGCAUGGAAUAAUGAAAUAGGACGUUCGAUCCUAUUUUGUUGGUUUCUAGGAUUGACGUAAUGAUUAAUAGGGAUAGUUGGGGGCAUUAGUAUUCAAUUGUCAGAGGUGAAAUUCUUGGAUUUAUUGAAGACCAACUACUGC
rnacentral:rRNA from 1 species